CCCUCUUCCCCUGCAUUGGGGCGCUCUGUCUUGGGGCUGCAGCCGGCCUCCUCAGCUCGAGUGUAACAACAGUCGUGGCCAUGGCAGCACCUGCGGAUGUCACAUGGGCAGGACAGCAGGUGGGUGAAGCUCUCUCCUGGCCCUCCUCUCUUGCCAGGACCAUGGGUGACUGAAGACCCCCAGGGAGGCACAGCAUCCUCUUA
rnacentral:lncRNA from 1 species